UUGAGGACAGCUACAGCUGACUGACUCUGUGUGUUUGCAUAUGUGUCCUGCCUCUCUGCUCCCAGCCGUUAAGAGGCCAGUGUUGAUCAGUGUGUGUCCAGGCCUUUCAGAGCCACUGACACGCCGGCAGCACAAUGAUGAUGUCUCUGACUCUACUGCUGGCCACCCUGGGGCUCCUUGUUCAGGGUUCAUCAGCAGAUAUCAUCCUGACUCAGUCUCCUGAAUCUCAGUCUGUUGUUCGUGGUCAGACCGUCUCUAUCAGAUGUAAAACCAGUUCAAAUGCUGGCAGUGAGGUAGACUGGUACCUUCAGAAACCUGGAGAAGCUCCUAAACUCCUGAUUUAUUAUGCUACAACUCGUCAGUCUGGAGUUUCAGAUCGUUUCAGUGGCAGUGGAUCUGGAACUGACUUCACUCUGACCAUCAGCAGAGUCCAGACUGAAGAUGCAGGAGUUUAUUACUGUCAGCAGGAUUACAGCUUCCCGUUCACACAGUGAUACAACGUCGUACAAAAACCUCCCUCAGCUGCAGAGGAACUGAUCUGAAUCAACAGCUGCACAAAACUAAACCCACAGACGUUUACACAAAAGUACAUUUUACAACAAAGUACAUUAAAAACAUACAGUCACAGAGGAAACCAUGUUGGAAAGUCAGUAAGUAUUUUUAUCAAUAGUUUUAUUCAGACAGGUUUUGAAACUUUGCAUUUAAAGUCAGUUUUAAUGAUUGUUUUAUGUUAUGACAUCAAUUUGCCAAGAACAAGACAGGCUGAUACAGCUGCUGAACUAUAUAGUAAAAUAAAGUAAAAUAAUUUAGAAAUUACAAGUUAAAACAUGACUAUGCUAAUUAGAAAUAAACCCAACAGUUAAAAGCUUUAAAGUCAUGUUUCAGACACAGAGAUUUCCAACAAACACUCAUAACAAUAAUACAUUAAAAGAAUGUAAUACAGUAACACAUUAGUGCUGCCAUGAGUUUUAUUUAAUGUGAGGAUAAGAAUGUGAUGGAAAGUCAAUGCAAUCAUAUGUACAUAUAUUUACAUGUGAUUUUUUUGUUUUAAUCUCACUUCUGUAGUUCAGUUGACAGGAUGAUGCACAUUAGCUUAAUACAAAUAAAAGCUCCAUGAAAUAGGAUUACUUAUUUACCUCAGGUCGAGACAAUCCAGGUGAUUUUCCACGAAAUGUUCAGACCACGUGUUAGAACAUUUAAAAUAUAAGCAAACAAAACUUUACAUCUGUUAAACACAGAGGUGACAAAUAAAAUAUGAUCUUUUCUGAACGUAACACACUUUAAGAUACAAUAACAUAUCAGACCAUUUUCAUAUCUGAGAAACAGACUUAAAUAAUAAUAAC